UUUAGAUGUUUGUUGCAGGGGUGCAGCAAAACGUCAGCUAAUGGAAGAGAAAUUAAUAAGGAUCCACAUUAUUUCCAGAAAUCGAGGCGUGAUCUGUCCUUCAGUGAGUGAAACUGGGUAUUUUCCUAACCAGGAUUUCCUAGCAAGGAGUUUCACAAGAAAAUACAAAGUCAGCUCUUCCCUGCUUACAUGCUACUCUGGGUCUGUUUAUCUCUUCAGUCUCUUUGUUAAUCAGAUCUCAAGAGGCCUCUCCAGUUAUUUUCACCUCUUGGCCCCCCAGUGUCUAAACAAGAAUUUGGGAGUCGGAAGGGCUACCACUACCUCCAACAACCAUUGGCCAGCUCUGCCUUGUUUUGGCAUGGGAGUACAUGGAAGCCCAAAUGAGGAUCAGGACCUCACUGUGCAAGGUGCUGUACUAACACAGAUAGAGACAGUCUCUAUCAUGAAAACCUUACAAUCUAACUACAUAUUGUAAAGAAGAAAGCAUCUCAUUAAGGGAUGAAGUCAUAAAACAGGCAAGAGAACAGUUCUUCAGACUCCCAGCCUAACACCCUGUCCUCUUGACCACUUGCAAGACCCUCUAUUCUAUCUCUUUCUAUCUUUCUAUACCCUCUUCAAGGAAAAAUAUAACUUGGCAGCAUUUAAACAGAAAAAUUUUGACAAGAGCUGACCGAAACUUCGACAUUUCCAUUCUGUGGGAAAAUCUGACAUUUAAAAAAGAAAAAGAAAAAGAAAAAAAAGUUCUGUACAGAUUUGGAACAAAACAAAAUAGAUUUUUCACCAUCACUGUGGCACAGGAAAGCUGCUUUCUUUUUGAUUUCAGAAAAAUGGAAAUAUUUCAGAUCAAUUUUUUCAAAAACCGAAACAGAGCACCUGGCUGCCCCUGACUCCUUGGCACUUGAUGUGAGAUCUCUAUCAUGGAUUCCUGUACCUCUGACAGAUCAGCCUGAGGGCACCAAAUAAGAGGACAUGGUGAAAACUCUCACACUCUUAACUUCCUGGUAACUGCACUUGGAAUUUCCUGCCCCUGCAGAGUAGGCACAUAUACAUUGCUUGGGAUGUGUGCACUGAGGUCCCGUGCAAUGUGAGACAAGAAGCUGAGUGCAAGUUGGCAGGCAUCAAAGAGGCAGGAGAUCAUAGGGAGUUGGCAGGACACACCAAGCAGUUUUAUAAACAGGAAUAAAGAAAAUGUUGAGCGAAUGAAUGUUUUGAGCUCAGCUGGGCUCAUUCUUUUGAGGCUCAGUCUCUCCUUGUUGCUUGAGCUGCCACAGCUCUGGCAUUGACUGCAGGCCUGCUUUGACAUCUUCCGUAAGGUGUUUUGCCCCUCAGAGGGAAAGGCGCAGCAGUCAGACUCACUCAUUCUGUAUUCUUUCUUCCAGUGCAGAGGAAGUGUUGAAUAUUAUCUAAUACUUCAAAUCCUGGUCCCACUGAAGUCAAUGACACAACACCCAUUGAUUUAAACUAGGAUUUAGCCCAUACAUCACUACAAAUGUGGAUUAGGAUUACAUCCAUGGUGGGCAAUUAUUUGGGCUGGAGGGCCAUUUAGGGAGCUUUGGUGAGCUGUUGCGGGCCGGGGUGGUGCUGACUCAGCAUGGUGGAGGGGCGGGGGAAGGGGGCAUUGAUCCUAUCUGGCCUGGGCCUGUCUGCCCCACACCCAUUGCCAGGGGCACUGGAUGGAACGGGUGGGCAUGAAAAGUUUUCAUGGAAACUAGCCCAGGACCCCUGUAGGCAGGGAGUGCUCAGCUGGGUGGAUGGGAUGGAGCCACGGGUGCGCAGAGAGCAGUGUCCAGGAACAGGAGAGGUGGGUAGGGCUAGGAUUGUGAGGCAAUGACAGCUCAGGGCCAGGGCCAGGGCCUGCUCUGUCACUGGUCCACAAUUGCGGCCCUGGCCCUGCCCACUUGUCCAGAAGGAGCUGCCACCACUGGGGUUGGCAGGAAGCUGAAUCUAGCCACUGUGCCGCCCCAUUCCUGUUGCAAACCCGGGAGUGGCAGGACUGGCUGGAUGUGUCACAGCCCGGGCUGCCUGCUGCACCUGGGCUGGGCAGGGCUGAGGGACCUGACACUGCGGGUCAGCUAAAAUCCCUUGGUGGGCCGAAUUAGGCCCACAGGCCAGAUUUUGCCCACCCCAGGAUUACACAAACACUUCAGCACCAGCAGAAAAGAAAGACCUGCUUGCAGAAGCAGUAGUCUUAUGCCAACUGCCCACCUUCAUUAGGUUUGAUUAAGUACUGCUGCCUUGGUGGAAAUGGCCAGUGAAUGGAACAAGUGGGCAUGAGCCUAUCAGAUGGGCAGAGGUCUGGGAAGCCAAGAGACUAUGUAUAUGAUACAUAUAUGCUGAGUGUAGGAUUCUCAGCUGGGAAUAUUUACGUUGCUGUCUGUCCUGAGUUUUCACUUUGACAAAGAAGGAUAUGCCAUUGCUAAUCUAGAUCUGAGCUAGAUUAUUUAUGAAGGAAAAAGAACAUCACCCAUGACCACGAUGGGCUGUGAAGAGCAAUGUGCCUGGAACAGUGAAAGAAAUAUCCCUGCCUCCUCUUCAUUUUCCUUCUGGGAUGUCCCAUGGAAAAUUCUGUGUUUUGGCUAGCUUUUGGCUGAUUAAGUAAAAAAGGAGCUACGAUGGUGAGGGAAGGAUCAAAUAACAUUUACCUUGAAUUAAAUAUUAAUUAAAUAGCAAAUAAAGUUAUUCAUAAGA